UCAUCUCCGGGGGUAGAGCACUGUUUCGGCAAGGGGGUCAUCCCGACUUACCAACCCGAUGCAAACUGCGAAUACCGGAGAAUGUUAUCACGGGAGACACACGGCGGGUGCUAACGUCCGUCGUGAAGAGGGAAACAACCCAGACCGCCAGCUAAGGUCCCAAAGUCAUGGUUAAGUGGGAAACGAUGUGGGAAGGCCCAGACAGCCAGGAUGUUGGCUUAGAAGCAGCCAUCAUUUAAAGAAAGCGUAAUAGCUCACUGGUCGAGUCGGCCUGCGCGGAAGAUGUAACGGGGCUAAACCAUGCACCGAAGCUGCGGCAGCGACGCUUAUGCGUUGUUGGGUAGGGGAGCGUUCUGUAAGCCUGUGAAGGUGUGCUGUGAGGCAUGCUGGAGGUAUCAGAAGUGCGAAUGCUGACAUAAGUAACGAUAAAGCGGGUGAAAAGCCCGCUCGCCGGAAGACCAAGGGUUCCUGUCCAACGUUAAUCGGGGCAGGGUGAGUCGACCCCUAAGGCGAGGCCG
rnacentral:rRNA from 1 species